rnacentral:rRNA from 1 species
CUAGCUGUAAACGAUGGAUACUAGGUGUGGGUGUCGCAGGGCAUCCGUGCCGCAGCUAACGCGUUAAGUAUCCCGCCUGGGGACUACGGUCGCAAGACUGAAACUCAAAGGAAUUGACGGGGGCCCGCACAAGCGGUGGAGCACGUGGUUUAAUUCGAUGCAAACCGAAGAACCUUACCUGGAUUUGACAUGCAAGUGGUAGUGAAGUGAAAGCGGAACGACUGUACAGCAAUGUAUGGAGCUUGCACAGGUGC